UAAGAAUCUUCCCCAAUGGCCGAAAGCCUGCCGGAGCGACGCCGCGUGGCCGAUGAAGGCCGUGAGGUGGUAAAGUCCUUUUCGGGGGGGGGAAGGAGGUCCGCGGGGAAGGGCGGGCCGAUGACGGGACCCCCGGAAUAAGCCCCGGCUACCUCCGUGCCAGCAGCCGCGGUAACACGUAGGGGGCGAGCGUUGUUCGGAAUCAUUGGGCGUAAAGGGCGCGCAGGCGGCGAGGCAAGUCCGGUGUGAAAGUGCUCGGCUCAACCGAGUGAUGCGCUGGAAACUGCCCUGCUUGAGUACAGGAGGGGACGUCGGAAUUCCAGGUGUAGGGGUGAAAUCUGUAGAUAUCUGGAAGAACACCGGUGGCGAAGGCGGACGUCUGGCCAUGUACUGACGCUGAGGCGCGAAGGUGUGGGGAGCGAACA
rnacentral:rRNA from 1 species